AUGUCGAGCGCCGCCACCACCGGUUCCACUGCUGCGGGUUUCCUCCCGGCCUCUCUUGCGGCUCUGCUCAACCUCCCGCUCGAUGCCGUCUCUGUUCCGGCUCCGAUCGGGACAAGGAGCAUCGGCUCCGUCUUCUCCACGCCGCCGGCGUCCUCGCUUGGGCGUGACCUCGUGGUCCACACCGCGGCGCCGCCGUCCGCUGCGGACUCCGCAGGCGUCGUCCCGCCGCUCCUGCCGCAAGCGGAUCACACUGCCCCGCUGGCGGGGUUGGCGGCGUCCGCCCCGGCCGCGGGCUUUGCGGCGUCCGCACCGGCCGCGAGCUUUGCGGCGCCCGCCCUGGCUGCGGUCCCGCCUCCUCCCGCAUCGGCUUCGGUGCCUCCGGCUGUCUCCAUGGUGUUUGCACCCCAGGCAGCCUCCUCGAUGGGAUCGUCUUCGCCGCCGCCGUUUCACUUCGGUCAUCUCAUCACCAUCAAGCUCUCCGCCGACAACUACAUCUUCUGGCGUGCGCAGGUUCUUCCGCUCUUGGGGAGUCACUACCUGGUAGGCUACGUCGACGGAUCGCUUCCCUGCCCACCCGCGCUGGUAGACAGCGUGCACGGUCCGGUCUACAAUCCGGCCCAUCGCGUCUGGACGGGGCAGGACCAGGCGAACCUCUCCUCCAUCCAGGGGUCGCUCUCGCCGGCAGUUGCCGGCCUUGUUGUCUUCGCGAAGACGUCUCAUGAGGCCUGGACCAUCCUUGAGCGCACCUUUGCAGCGCAGUCCUAG
rnacentral:rRNA from 1 species